GAUGAACGCUAGCUACAGGCUUAACACAUGCAAGUCGAGGGGUAACGAGAGGAAAGCUUGCUUUCCUUGUCGACGACCGGCGCACGGGUGAGUAACGCGUAUCCAACCUGCCCCCAACUAGGGAAUAACCUUGCGAAAGUAAGACUAAUACCCUAUAAUUUCCUCAGAUGUCAUCUGACGAGGAAUAAAGAUUUAUCGGUUGUGGAUGGGGAUGCGUCUGAUUAGCUUGUUGGCGGGGUAACGGCCCACCAAGGCAACGAUCAGUAGGGGUUCUGAGAGGAAGGUCCCCCACAUUGGAACCGAGACACGGUCCAAACUCCUACGGGAGGCAGCAGUGAGGAAUAUUGGUCAAUGGGCGGAAGCUUGAACCAGCCAAGUAGCGUGCAGGAUGACGGCCCUAUGGGUUGUAAACUGCUUUUAUACAGGAAUAAAGUUAGCCACGUGUGGUUAUUUGUAGGUACUGUAUGAAUAAGGACCGGCUAAUUCCGUGCCAGCCGCCGCGGUAA
rnacentral:rRNA from 1 species